UACGGGGGGGGCAAGCGUUGUCCGGAAUUAUUGGGCGUAAAGGGCUCGUAGGCGGUCUGUCGCGUCUGCUGUGAAAACUCGGGGCUUAACCCCGGGCCUGCAGUGGGUACGGGCAGACUAGAGUGCGGUAGGGGAGACUGGAAUUCCUGGUGUAGCGGUGAAAUGCGCAGAUAUCGGGAGGAACACCAGUGGCGAAGGCGGCGACCUGGGCCAAUAUUGACGCUGAGGUGCGAAAGCGUGGGGAGCAAACAGG
rnacentral:rRNA from 1 species